rnacentral:tRNA from 5 species
GUCCCGUUCGUCUAGCUGGCCCAGGACCUCAGGAUUUCAUCCUGAUAACAGGAGUUCAAAUCUCUUACGGGACGCCA